AUGGCCAUAUUCGACGAGUUCUACGUUGGCUCCAUUGAUCUCGGGCGUCUCAACUAUGGGAUCAUCUCUAUCAUCCCCAAGUUCCUUGGGGCGUUCGACAUCCGCCAUUUUCGCCUGAUCAUGGUCAUUAAUGUGAUUUUUCGGAUCCUGGCCAAAGGGUACGCCAAUAGGGUGACCCUGCUAGCGGACCAUGUGACUCACCCCAACCAGUCGGCCUUCAUUAAGGGCUGUUACAUCUUGGAUGGGGUCCUUGUCCUUCAUGAAGUCCUUCAUGAGGUCCACGUCAAACACCUCAAGGCUGUUUUGCUGAAGAUUGACUUCCACAAGGCCUACAAUACGGUUAGCUGGCCCUUC
rnacentral:rRNA from 1 species